AGAGGAUACCGAGCGGACGCAUUGUCCGACUGUCGGCUCCUGCGCUCGCGUUUUGCGGAUCUCUGACGGAUAUCGCUUGCGCAUUUUUGGAAAUCUGACGGGAGAGGUGGAUGGGGAUAGCUACCUGCGCGGACCUUUUUUGACCGAAACCACCACCCGUCCCCGUUUGGUUCCGCUUCCGUCACGCGCCUCGGACACGAAAGCGUUUGCGCUCGAUCGCGCCGAAUCGCGAUUUUACGCGAGUGCUUCAGAAAUAAGAGAGGAAGAAAGGCGAACGGGGGAAAAGAAAGGAAAGUUUUCGUUCCCGGAAGGAGAGGAAGAACGUUUUCUUAAGCAAAUUUGACCACAGGAAAGGAAUGAAUUAAUUUCGAGCUUCUCCAAGGGAGUUUCUCACGAUUCUCUCUUUCGUACUGUUGAAAAGGCGAAGGAGGCGAAGGAAAAGGCCGUUCUGCUCCAAAAGUGUCGUGGAUCCCGGGGCACGUAUCGAUCUCGAUGAGAUGAUUGAGAGCGGAAUUCGCGGAGAGGAAGGGCCUCGUUGACACACGAGAAUGAGAGAAAAAAGGAGAAGACCGAAAGGGAGAGCGAGAGCGAUGCAAUCCCCGGAAGGUGACUAAGGUGCAACGCGUAGGUGCAACGACGCUCGUUGUUCAUCGCGAGCUGAAUGGCUGGAUGCGUCAACGUUACAUUUCAAUUCGAGCGAGAAAGGAAGAAAGGUGCGAGGAGGGCCAAGAGUGCGUCCGGCAGGUAGCGAGCGUCCGCCUUUAAUGGCUUUAACGGCGUUUCGUGCCAUUUACACCUCCGAAAGCGUCGCCGACGACGACAGGGGGUUGCAGCGUCGUCCACGGCGCAUUGUCGGGCCCGCUAUGCCCUUAUACGGUGGCCAUUGACGAAACGACUUCCCGUCACGCCAACUGCCCGCUCUUUCCCACUCUCUCGUCCUUUUGCUCUUUCUCUUUUCUCGAUCUGCACUGUCGCGUGUAAAACGCCAUCCUGGCAUCUCGGAGCGACCUACAUAUUUCCACUCUCGAAGGAGGCUGUAUUCGUAAAAAGAUAACUGAAUGAAAAGUUAUUUGAAAACAUUUGUGACAAUUGGCACGUGAGAUAGAUAAAAGUUAAUUUUAAUAGAUAACAAAAUAAGGAAGCUGCCUUUCUGAUUACUUUUACUAAUUUUUUUAUAUCUGAAAGAUCGCUGCAAAUUUUUUUUGAGAAUAUUGUUUAACAUUCGAAUAUCGUGUAGGAACUUGUUACUUAACAAGUAAUUAAGUUCUUAUUGCAUUUAUUUUACCGACCGUUCUUAAUUUAUAGCCACAAAGCAAUAUCCCGGUAUCUCGAGUCGCUUACAUUGUAAAAGAACUCGGGAAGAACGUCCAAAGGGGCGCCUUCCCGGCAGGGAGGAUUUCGGGACCCGAAGAGGACUCCAAAAGGCCGAGAGUGGACUUCGCGCGAAAUUUAGCACCUAGAAGACAGUUACGAGGCGCAUCGCGCCGCGAGCGAGCGAGGAACGCUAAUUUCACAGUCGUUUAAACGGCGAUAACUCAACGAGAUUUACAACACGCGCCGUAGAAUUUCCAGCGUGUCUAACGUCUGCGAGACGGGCUUGACAUCAUAUUCCAUUAGAACCGAAACCGGCCGCGGUUCUCCGCCAUGAUUUUACGAGCGACUCGUCGUCGAGAUAGGUAGAAGCCCGUACCCCUUUACAUAAUACUAUAAACGUUGCAUCUAUUUUUGUACACAUACUUGCGAUGAUGAGCCGAGCUCGCUACAAUCUUUUGCACUCGUUCUAUUAGAUUAGCAGAACAUAAUCAUGCACGAAUAAUUAUUUUCUUCCAUUUUCACUUGACUUCUAUAGAAAAUCUGUGAAAACGUAUUUAAAUGUUGAUACCGGAGAACUGACUAAUUAUUUAAGAAAUCUGUCUUUAUUUUAUUUGGACUAUACAGUGUUCUCCGUCAUGAUGAGUUCCAAGAUACGAGCGAUUGAAAGCAAACUUCAUACUUUAAUUACAAAAUUUGUAUGUAAAUUACAUGCAAAUUAUACGGUAACGUUACAAUUUAAUCGUGUGCAUCAUACAUUGCACAGUUUAACAUAGAUUUAUAGAUUAGACUUGAUUACAAAUUCCGCUAGAUCAAGGAAAACUGGUAUUAAUUAAACAAGGGUGACGCACAAUCCGGAUUGCGACUUGCGAGUAUCUUUGUUGGCGGCGUCGUCGUCGUCGUCGGCACUCGUCAAAGCGCUUUAUUUUACGUUCACAGAGUCGCUCGUCGUGUGUGCAAGCCCGCCCGGGUUAGUCCAAACAGCCCUCGUCAAUAAAAUUGUCGUUUUCGUCGAUAAUAAAAGCCGCGAGAGGCGCGUAUGGCGCGCUGUUUAUUUGGACGGCGCCGCGCCUGAGUCCGCUCGUUAAACGACGCCGACGACGUCGUCGUCGGCGGCGGCGCGGUUCCCCAGGGACUUCCUUCCGCCUGCGAGAAAGCCCGGGCCUUUUCCGCGACAUCGGCCACGUGUCCCGAGAAUCCGUGCGACCUAGAUCGAACGCGCGAUCGCGAAGUCGUUCUUUGACUCUUUGACGGCGAGCUGAAGCUGAACUUUUCUUUUAAGAGGAUUCUUCUAUUUCUGAACAGUUCACGCCGCCGAGCACAGUUCAGAAGAGGUAUUUGAUGUGCAAUGCACGACAUUCUUUUUCCUUUUGCUACUUAAUUUACAAUUUACAAUUACUCAAUUUACAACUGCUGACAGAUCAUAACGUGUAAUUGUUUUUUCACUUAGGGCAAAUUUCAAUUAUUCUUUCACUAGUUUACAGUUUGAUAUUUUUAUAAAGCUCGAGCAUUCAUCUUUCUUCUUAGGUUUCGAUGUAGUUGUGCAGAUAUUGCUGGAGUUUCGACGAAAAGCAGAAAAGGUAUUCGCUGCUAAUCGGACUUAAGUAGCUUCAGAUUAGGCGCACAAAUAAGAGGCAUGUAAAAUAUCUGCGCUAAAGAGAAGCGAGAUUAUACCCUUUCAGGAUCUCCCGUGGUGGACAAUGUCCACCGUGAAAACUGGACGGUGUCCACCUCUCGCAAUUGCCGCGAUAACGAAAAUUGGCGGUGCAUAGUCCACAGUCGGAUGGGCGUCGAUCGGUCUCGCCCAGAUUUCACCCUCUGCUCUCCCCGUCACUCCCUCACCUUCACCCUCCUUCUGUCGUCCGGAAUCGCGUGAAAUCCGCUUCCUUUUUUUUCUUUUUCUCUCAGAGCGCAAAGACGCAGCUGCGUCGCAGCUUUUAGAGGCGCCGUAGGACUUAAUUGAUGGAACGGGGCCUCGCCACGGGGCAACCUUGUAUCCACCUUCCGCGCCACCACCCUCCCCGUCUCGUCCCCUCUAUAAUUCGAUCAAGCACCCCGUUGACGGGCCUACCGCCAGCACACUGUUGACAUUUGGUUAUUUUGACGUCACGCUGCGAGACGUCGUCCCGGUUCAACGAGGAAUAGCUGGAGAGACGACAAGGACCUUCCUUUCGGCGAAACAACCCUUCUGCGGGCCCUCGUUUCGGGGACCACCCGCUGACCGAGCUACCGUGUCGGUCCAUAAACGCGGAGAGAAAGCGCCCUGAAAUUAACGGAUCCCAGAGAGUCAAGUUUGUAUUCUCCAAGAAUGUUUACUCGCUCUCGUUUUGGCAUCCUCGGUUCGCCAAGCUCGUUUAGGAACCGUUCAGGGAUCAAUAGGAGACCAUUGAGAAGGUAACGGCUUGUGACACUGUUAAAUAUUUCUUGACUCUGUGACCAUAAAUAACGUUUAGAAAUGUUUUACGUUACAAACAGGUACAUUCUGAACACAAACGACGUGCGAAGUUUUAAAAAUUACUGAAAUAUUUGCGACAUUUCCAUGUUUAUUUGCAAAAAA